rnacentral:rRNA from 1 species
AGUGAACGCUGGCGGUAGGCCUAACACAUGCAAGUCGAACGGCAGCACAGUAAGAGCUUGCUCUUACGGGUGGCGAGUGGCGGACGGGUGAGGAAUACAUCGGAAUCUACUUUUUCGUGGGGGAUAACGUAGGGAAACUUACGCUAAUACCGCAUACGACCUACAGGUGAAAGCAGGGGAUCUUCGGACCUUGCGCGAUUGAAUGAGCCGAUGUCGGAUUAGCUAGUUGGCGGGGUAAAGGCCCACCAAGGCGACGAUCCGUAGCUGGUCUGAGAGGAUGAUCAGCCACACUGGAACUGAGACACGGUCCAGACUCCUACGGGAGGCAGCAGUGGGGAAUAUUGGACAAUGGGCGCAAGCCUGAUCCAGCCAUACCGCGUGGGUGAAGAAGGCCUUCGGGCUGUAAAGCCCUUUUGUUGGGAAAGAAAAGCAGCAGGUUAAUACCCCGCUGUUCUGACGGUACCCAAAGAAUAAGCACCGGCUAACUUCGUG